rnacentral:rRNA from 1 species
ACGACGUAUAGGGUCUGACGCCUGCCCGGUGCCUGAAGGUUAAAAGGAGGGGUGAGAGCUCCGAAUUGAAGCCCAGGUAAACGGCGGCCGUAACAAUAACGGUCCUAAGGUAGCGAAAUUCCUUGUCGGGUAAGUUCCGACCUGCACGAAUGGUGUAACCAUGGCCACGCUGUCUCCACCCGAGACUCAGUGAAAUUGAAAUCGCAGUGAAGAUGCUGUGUACCCGCACCUAGACGGAAAGACCCCGUGAACCUUUACUACAGCUUGGCACUGAACAUUGAACCUACAUGUGUAGGAUAGGUGGGAGGCUUUGAAGCAGCGGCGCCAGUCGUUGUGGAGCCAUCCUUGAAAUACCACCCUUAUCUUCGUGGAUGUCUAACUGCGGUCCGUUAUCCGGAUCCAGGACAGUGUGUGGUGGGUAGUUUGACUGGGGUGGUC